rnacentral:rRNA from 1 species
UACGAAGGGGGCUAGCGUUGUUCGGAAUUACUGGGCGUAAAGCGUGCGUAGACGGUUAUUUAAGUCGGAUGUGGAAGCCCCGGGCUCAACCUGGGAAUUGCAUUCGAGACUGAAUAGCUAGGGUACGGUAGAGGGAAGCGGAAUUUCCGGUGUAGCGGUGAAAUGCGUAGAUAUCGGAAGGAACAUCAGUGGCGAAAGCGGCUUCCUGGACCAGUACCGACGGUUCAGGCACGAAAGCGUGGGGAGCAAACAGGA